rnacentral:rRNA from 1 species
CCUACGGGUGGCAGCAGUCGAGAAUCAUUCACAAUGGGGGCAACCCUGAUGGAGCGAUGCCGCGUGUGGGAAUGAAGCUCUUCGGAUUGUAAACCCCUUUCAUGUGGGAGCAAAUUAAAAAGAUAGUACCACAAUAGAAAUAUACUGCUAACUCUGUGCCAGCAGCCUCGUUAAUACAGAGGUCUCAAGCGUUGUGCGUAAUCACUGGGCGUAAAGCGUGCGUAGGCGGUUUCGUAAGUCGUGUGUGAAAGGCGCGGGCUCAACCCGCGAACGGCACAUGAUACUGGGAGGCUAGAGAAAUGGAGAGGGAGGCGGAAUGCUCGGUGUAGCGGUGAAAUGCGUAGAGAUC